AUACGGAGGGGGCUAGCGUUGUUCGGAAUUACUGGGCGUAAAGCGCGUGUAGGCGGAUCGUUAAGUCAGGGGUGAAAGCCCGGGGCUCAACCCCGGAACUGCCCUUGAUACUGGCGAUCUAGAGUCCGGAAGAGGUGGGCGGAAUUCCCGGUGUAGAGGUGAAAUUCGUAGAUAUCGGGAGGAACACCAGUGGCGAAGGCGGCUCACUGGUCCGGCACUGACGCUGAGACGCGAAAGCGUGGGGAGCAAACAGGAUUAGAAACCCUAGUAGUCC
rnacentral:rRNA from 1 species